UACGUAGGGUGCAAGCGUUGUUCGGAAUCAUUGGGCGUAAAGCGCGUGUAGGCGGUUUGUUAAGUCGAGUGUGAAAUCCCUGGGCUCAACCGAGGAAGUGCAUUCGAAACUAACUGGCUAGAAGAUGGUAGAGGAAGGUGGAAUUCCAAGUGUAGAGGUGAAAUUCGUAGAUAUUUGGAGGAAUACCGGUGGCGAAGGCGGCCUUCUGGACCAUUCUUGACGCUGAGACGCGAAAGCGUGGGGAGCAAACAGG
rnacentral:rRNA from 1 species